AACACAGACGGACCGUCGUGUGAGCUUCACACCACGUGUGCGGAGAGGAGUUGCUGAACAGCAGGCAUGCCGAAGGCAGUGAAGGCGAAGGCGAAGGUGGAGAAUAAGGUGAUUCACCCGUACAGCAGAAA